AUUGAACGCUAGCGGGAUGCCUUACACAUGCAAGUCGAACGGAGUGGCGAACGGGUGAGUAAUGUAUCGGGACGUGCCCAGUAGCGGGGGAUACCUACGCGGAAGAGUAGCUAAUAACGCAUACUAUUGGAGCGGCCGCGAGCGGAUUAGCUAGUUGGUGGGGUAACGGCUCACCAAGGCGACGAGCCGUAGCGGGUUUGAGAGGACGACCAGCCACACUGGGACUGAGACACGGCCCAGACUCCUACGGGAGGCAGCAGUGGGGAAUUUUCGACAAUGGGGGAAACCCUGAUCCAGCCAUCCCGCGUGAGCGAUGAAGGCCUUCGGGUUGUAAAGCACUUUUGUCAGGGAAGCGGUACCUGCAGAAUAAGCACCGGCUAACUACGUGCCAGCCGCCGCGGUAAUUC
rnacentral:rRNA from 1 species